CUACUCUGAGAUCAGACGUGGCUACAGAUGACUAGAAAAGGAAGGUCCUCUCUUCUUUCCAGCUGUCCUUUGCUGCCUGUGCUUAAUUUCUAUCUGCCUUCUGUGAGUGCCUUGGGCAGAAGCACAGUGCUUUAGUCUUAUACUGAUCAAUCUACUUUUCCUUUUCCAUCCUCUGCCAUUCUGGAAUCAUCUGGGGCUUC
rnacentral:lncRNA from 1 species